AAAAAAAAAUUAACAGAAAAUUUGCAUAAUUUUGUUUGGCUGACGCUAUUGCAAAAGUUUUUAUCAGAAUCCAAAUUGAUCAUUAAAGUUACCUUACAAAAGAUUCUAUAGACACACGAAGCGCAAAUGUUGCGAUGGAUCUGUUUAAUUUAAGGCUUACAAACCAAAUUAGUUGUUUUCUUGCAGUAAAAAGCUUUAAUUUGCUUACACAUCAUCUCUUUCUUGUCUUAACAUAUAACUUCACCAAAUCAUUCAGAAAAACAAAAAACACUCCAGAAAAUUUUAAAUAAUCCUACCUAAUAUACCCCCCACGAUAUCCAAAAGAAUNCUUGCAGUAAAAAGCUUUAAUUUGCUUACACAUCAUCUCUUUCUUGUCUUAACAUAUAACUUCACCAAAUCAUUCAGAAAAACAAAAAACACUCCUAAUUCAUUGGAAUAAUCCUACCUAAUAUACCC
rnacentral:lncRNA from 1 species